CGCGCCCCGCGUUGCUUCUGCAGCUCCGGGCCCGCUAAGGAGAGGGCGCCUUCUUCCCUCGGUGGCCGAGAGAAGACGGAGAGACCCGAGAGACGAAGGCCGGAGGGCUCGGGCGCGGCGAGCGGGCUCCUGCAGCACGGGGAGCGCGCGCGGGCGAUGUCUAGGGGGGCUCUUCGGCCAGGCAGCGGGUACUUCAUCCCUGAGCCUCAUCAUUGAAUCUCCAUGUCUGGCCCAGGCCCGAACAUGCAGUAGGCACCCACUAGAUGCUUGGUGAAGGAGAGGAGUCCCAGCCCAGCUGGUCAGUGAAGUCUUGGUUCACCUCAACUAUCACCUUGAAGAGUCAUUGUCUCGCUGACCAGAUGGUUUCGAAGUAUCCUCACCCCCUUUCCUCAAUGUCUGACUACUCUAUUUUCCUAGCAACACCCGCCACUAUCUGAAGGUAACAUCUUCUGUUCUUGUUUAUGGCUUGACUCCCCUAAAAUGCAUAUGCCCCACUAUGUAGGAGCCUCCCACCAUGCCUUGUUCACAGCUCUGCCCUGGUGCAGAGCAGGUGCUCAGAGCAGACCACAAGCCACCAUCCAACUCAGGGUCAGGCCUUAGCAGGCUUAGGUACACACAGGAAAUGGCCUUUGAAAAGAGCACGUGCUACAGGGACGGAGCAUGAAAACCCUUGGCCAGAUUUUUCUGCCCUUUAUACUUUGCUCUGAGGAGUAAUUUGAUUCGGUUCAAUCCAUUCAUCCAUGGAAAUCACAAAAAAAACAGUGGGCUGCAGUGGUGGGGACGGCAUUCCCCGGUGGAUGGUGGAGGGAGGGAUUUUCCAGGCAGAGAGGGAGCAAGCAGCCUGGGUACCGGAUGUAGAUGUAAGGUCUUUGGGUUCUUUGUGGCUGGGUCCCUGGGGACAGGCAGCAUGGGGAGGCACCACUUGCUCUAAAGUGUUUAGGGCAGCAGAGAAGUCUGCCAGUCACUCCUCAGUCCUGGUUAAAGCACAGCGGAGGCGAGCCUCUCACCCUAAACCUCCCCUGGGUGUGCGAAGCCACCAGCUGGCCUGGCUGAGAAGCUGCCAUUAAUACAGGGCUCCUUUAGGUGACCGGAGGUGAGGCCCAGGAAGAGCGGAAGUGUAGGAGAGGCAUAAUGGUGACUCUUGAGUGGGGGAUGGAGGAGCCAGGACAGCGGUCAUCUGUGACGUGGAACCCGCACCACAAGGACGAGGGUGGGGAAGACACUUGGGGUUUGCAUAACCGGGUGAGGAGGCAGAGCUGCUGGAGGAAGACUGUCCUGGGAGCUGCAGGCCUAUCAGCGGAAGAUGACUGGUUUUCCUGGCCAAAUGGCUGGAGAACAUUCCAGAAGGGCCCAGGAGGGAGGCCCAGAGGGACCCACCCACUAAGUCCUGGCACCUACAUCUUUCAGACCCUUCGAUGUUUUCCUAAGGAUUACUCAUCCAGGACCCAGCAGGGAGGCUUCUGUGGCGGUUUACCACAGGCCAGCCUUGACCACAGGCUAUUCUGGGAGCUGGGGGCAGACAGACAGCAGGGAGGAGGAGCAGGUCAUGGUCUUCACCCGGCACCUGUGUCCAGGCAUCAUGGGGUGUGCACUUUUAACCCCUGUCUGCUGGCACCAGAGAAAGUGGAACUGGACUUGGCGGGCAGGGGUGAUGGGGUAACGGGCCUGGCCAGCAGACCUUACCCAGGAGAGAUGUCCCCCCAGAAGAAGGUGAGUUGAGACCACUGUCCUCUGUGCUGGCUUUGAGGGACUCCUGGGGUGACUUGGAACAGGGGGAGUGGGGAAGCAUUCAGUGGACAAGGUGGGGCCUUUGGCUCAUUCAUUCCUCAGCCACAAGGCCAUAGCCUGAGGGGUCAUUGGAAAAUAGAGCUUCUUUGUUCUAAUUUAAAGCAACAGGUCAAAAAGCCAAAAAUGAACAAAUAAAACAAUAAAAAACUUGACUUUA